ensembl:lncRNA
CAAUGUUUCAUUGAGUUGAACAGACUGGUGAUACCUUGAGAUGAUGAUCCAUUCUUAACCGUGAGUCAAUCAGUAAGCCGCCAAUGUGUCACAAAUCUCAACAAAGAGUUGUAAUUGAAUAUUUAAGAUUUCAAGACAUAGAUGUAAUACAUUCUGUUCUAACCGUUAAAUUACGAGUUAAUAUGUAUUUUUUCUUGUUCAGAUGUUUAAUUUGCCUUGGUGCUUGUCACAUCGGCCUGUUCUUUUCUACUAUCUUUGAACGUGAUUUAGGACAUUUUUCAUGUGGUGUCAGAAAAGCAAUUUCAAGAAUAUAAGCAAUCACCUAGUCCCUAAUAGUAUUCAAUACAUGCAUAUAAAUACGCACAUACACAAUAAAACUGUGUGCAGGACAUCCAAAAAUGGUUGGAAAUCCAAUUAAUAUGCAUUAAGAAGGAAAAAGACGAGCGGGUAGCCUGGAUGAUUCAGCAAUAGUUAUACAUAAAUUAUUGGAUAUCCGAGAUCGAGUCAUGUUUUUUUCUUUGAAAAAAACCAACCGUGCAACAUCGCACAUUAGAGUUCCAACAAUCUGCGCAUACAAAAAACGACUUUUUCAGUUUAAUCAACUAAGGCUUACUGGUAAAAAAUAACAUCAUAUAAUAUGUUUCCUAUUUUCAUUGAUGUACAUACUUACUUAUAAUGUUAGGUGGAAGGCCAGGAAUCUAAUGAAUAACAUUGAAUGUAUAAUACAUAUUUGCACAUCAUGUUCUCUAAUUAGAAAUUAAAAACACUGAAAGUUUAUCUCUGACCUUCAUGGCAUACUGAUAUCUCACAAAUUCAAUCAUUUUCGUUUUCUUGCGAAGGCAAGUUCAGUAAUUGCUUUGAGACUAUUUUUAUAUAUUUAUUCAUUAUUUGUUAAAUCCAUCAAUUUAGACUGUUGUGUAUUUAUGUCAAGUACACGUGUAUCAUUUAUGUCAGUUCUUCCUAAAUAUAUUCAGCCUUCCUUUGCUGCUUUGGUUGAUAAAGCAGCCUCUCUCCCUCUGCAUGCAGACCCGUCUCUCUUUAUAUAUUUCAAAAUGUGUCAGUCUAUCUCGUUCAAGCUCUCUCCCUUUUCUCCUGCUGGGUUUUCCCGCCAAGGACGUGCUUCCAACUGCAUGAAGGGUGUAGCUUGCGCUGCCGUAAGCGACUUUUUUGAAAAUAACGACCGUGCCGUAGAAGUGGGCUUCACGUGCUUGCACACGCACAAAAAAAACUACACUUAAGAUCAUCACAAGACAAUUUGUCUUCCACACUCGGGCCACCAGAGCUGUUUGCAAAGCUGUCAAAACAAUGAUUCUUUAUCUCGGUUUUUGAUGACAACUGUUCCUCUUGAUGAGUUCUGAGCGAUAUGCAAUGAAUAAGAUGCACAUCGUGACUGUGUGCGUGUGUGUUACCGUGUGCUUCUGAAGGAUGAGGUGGUGGGAGAGAAGAGACGCGAGGGGGCGGGCUGAGCAUUGUAGUGGCGCAAGUCGUGCGUAAAAAACGCUUGUGGGGGACAGUGGCUGUCAGAUGCAUCUCCGGAGUCAAAUUUAAGAUCGAUGUAACAUGACGAGCAGAUCCUGGUGUCAAGUUGUACCAACAUGUGAUCAACACAACAAUUUAUCCAACAAAGACCUUUUGGCUGUGGGUUUAUGCUUAAAUAAUAUACUCUUACAAAUAGUUUAGAUAAGGUUCCUUUUGAAGCAUCAAGCUUUUGACAAGAUUUGUGCACCGAAGGACUCAGUACAGUCGAAUGUUGCUCCUCUGUUCCAGCUCAUCGGCAGAAUUUAAAAAUGGCGGGAUGUGCCCUUUUGACCUCAGCAUCUACCGCACAGCUCGCCAACUAUAAUAGCUGAAUGAAAAUCUUUGAAAGGCAUUAGAUUGUCCAGUGGGGACAAAUCCUAAACAUGUUGAUGGGGUAGAUUUUACAGUCGCAGCAAACAGGUACAUUACUUUGUGUGAUUUAUGUACAUCCAAACGGCAUCACUGUUUUGAGCGUGCAAACAGUUUCAUUCCUUCCAGAGCUCAUAUAAUGGGUUGCAGUCUCUGAUAUUAAGAUCUGUCAUUUUCACUUCAUUCAAUACAGUGGUACAAGCUGUGACGGAAAUAAAUAAAUCACGAGGUACCCAUAUAAGAUAGAAAAUAUCAAGAAGCAACCUUGGCUAAAGCUGCAGAUUCAGUUCAACUGGACAUUUUUUCACACAUUUAAAAAAAAAAUCCCCUCCUUCCUCUGGAAUUGCAUCACGACCUCGAGAAAAAUCAUCCAUCCAUAUUUAUAAGACCUUCUCCGUGACAAGAGUCAGUCGGAAGGCAGAGGCAGGGCCAGAAAUGGGGACGGCCUUGGACAAAAGGUCAACCUUGUGUAAAUCCCUUAUUCCAAAAUGUACAGGAACGACACCAGAGUCCGUCCCCCCCCCCCCCCUGCAGUCCCUUCGUCCAAAAUCUCAUCGAGCCUUGUUGAUGUUCAAGAACAAUAGGCAAUCCCAUAGGAAUGUGGAAAUGAAUAUGAUGAAUAGCUCAAUGUUUGGUAAGAAAUGCUCAAAUUACCAUCUAAAUGACACUGUUGUAGUAAUUAGAAUGGUAACAGCAGCUGUGAUCAAUGAGAUAAUAUGUCCAUUACAAACACGACAUCUCAUGGAGAAAUAAUGGGGAUCAUGUACUGCAGUUAGCGGUUAUGAUGUCCUUUGUGAAUCGGAUAAUUAGAGUAUGCAUGGUCCAAUGACAAUGCAGCGGAGCUGUACAUCGGACAAAACAAAAAUUGACGAGGCUGCGGCAAUUGUUGCUCUUCUGUCUGAUUUAUAAUGACAACGGGGCCGAGCGGCUUAUUAGUUAAAGGACGUUCCUACUGCCUUCCGCGUCACUCUCCUCCUUCCUUCCACUGGAGGUCCUGGGAUCUCAGGGCGGCCUAAAGCCCCUCGGUGGGUGCUGCAACCUGAUCUCGCGCUCACCUUUCGGCAGAAGGGGAGUAUUCAGCAGCCGGGGCAGAUAACACAUCCGUGCCACUCAAUACCUUUGUCUGGUUGGCUUCUGUUCGGGCCGGUGAUCCCUGUCCAACUCAAUCCGCUUCUAUUGUUAACGGCAGGAAUACUACAGCAGCUCUGUGACGGACCGCGAUGUUGUAUCCGCUCACUCCCACUAGCUGUCUCUCUUAGUGGCAUUUUAUAACCUUUGUUUCUCUUGCGUGAUGAUUCUCACUUGAAUCACCCAUCCUUGGCUCUUCUUCUUCUACUUCUUUUUCUCCCCUCCUCCCCGGGUGGUCUGCCUUAUUACUCAGUGUCCUCCUCUCCCGUACUUCUCCAUGUCACUUUCUGGCCGUCACUUGCUGCCCACGUUGUAACUCGCACCGUUCUGUCCGCGGCCUCGUCAGUCCGCUGUUUGUUUAGCGUGCCAAGUCAUUUUGCUCCAUUUUUGUGUUUGACGGAGCAGGAACAUUGACAGGCGACAUGGAAGUUUACUUACCCCAGACAUGAGUAGCCUGCAGGCACAAACAGAAACCAUCAGAUUCAUAAUAUGCCUGUGUCUCCUGGGCUCGGUUUAAAACCACGGCAAAAGGGGGAUUAUCUUUUUUUUUCUGCACAAACACGGCAACAUGCUUCACUAGUGCGCUAAGAGCUGUGGACAGGCAGCUUGUAGUCAGUCAUCCUUAAAAGAUUUAAGAUGUAGUUGGUCAGAUUUUUAUGUAAAAAUAAACUUUUUCAGACAACCUAAAGCGGGACAGCCAAAAGACGUAUUUCAUCCUCUCCAACUGCAUCCUGUUAAAAUCUGUGUUAAAAAAAAAUUAAACCAGAAAAAGAGAGAAGGCAAAAUGGUUUCUUUUAAUACAAAUUGGCAUAGAAAUAAGCAUUGUUCUGACUACAUGUGGCUCUUUAGUCUGUUCCAAAAUGUGACAGAUUCGAAAGAACAUUGACAAGACAAUUGUCAAAAAACUGAAUUUGUUUUGUAUUUUGUAUAAAACAACUACACAUUUAAGAACGAAGCACCCCUGUUUUUUCUUCUGACGGAUAUGAAAACAUAUUCUUUGACCAUCAAUUGCAGUUAUUUUCCUCUCCAAACUGACAUCCACAUGAUACCGCUAGGAGCUGUAACCGGUGGCUGCCUGUGAUGUUUGCAAUAGAUCUAGUUCUGCACAGGGGUAACGUGAGUUUACAAGUGCAAUGGGAACAGAGGCCAGUUUAUUUUGAAUCAUCUGGUAUGUUAGAAUAUGAUUUACUGUUUGAUUAUUCAUUAUACUUGCUUUGUUUUUCGUUUUGUUUUCCCCCGACGUCUCUUGUUGUUGCACUAUCCCCUUUGCUGCUGUAAUCCUGCAAAUUCCCCACUGUGGGACUAAUAAAGGAUAAUCUUAUCUUAAUCUUUUUUCAUCUUAUUCAUCUAAUUUGCUCUGAAAUGAGAGGACCUCUACCAUAUUGCUCUCUCUGAAAGUAAACCCUGCAUUUAACAAUAUAUUUAGUUCAUGCCUUUGCUUACAUUAAUCAGUCAACUUAACGUUACAUUAUUUAACGAUAUCAAUUAUACAGUUGCUGCAACUGGAAGCUUUGUGACAUGGAGACCAACAGGAGGUCAAAGCAGAGGUUCGGUUGAAGAGGGUUACGAUGCACAACGAACAAAUAACCCGAGGUUGGCUCUCACAGCGAGACGGGGCGAUGCGAGGCGGAGUGAGUGAAAAACCAGAAAGUGGAGCACAAUACAGAGCAGACAAUUUGCUAUGCAUCAAAUACGCAGUCAUAGAUUUGUUCAGAUGCUUGUUCAUAACCUGUCCUACUCUCAAGCUGCUGGCGUUAUUGUUCAGGCUCACCGCAGUCAAUAAUGCCAAGACAUCCCUCGGGCCGAGAUGGUGUGUUUGACAUGCAGUUGGGAGGGGGGGGGCUCAUCUUGUUUGCCGUGCAAUGUCCAGUGCGUCUCUUUAGGAGAAUUCGCUCAAGCACGUUGCAACGUGAACCCUAAAAGUGAUGAACUGGUCCUCCAUCUUCUCACAUCUCGCCGUCGCUUUCAGGCAAAUAAUGACACGACCGUGGGCACUUAUCCUACUCAUCAAUUUUCCAUCUGAAGGGCGGCCUGAAAACUUCAGAUCUGCUUUUUUUUUUACUUCAACAUGCGGCCGUGCUUCACCUUGACACUUUUUGUUUGUGUCAGGCGUACGCUUAACAAUCCCUGGCUGCCUUCUUUCUUUCCUUUAAACAUCGCUAAUCAUCACAUUGGCUGUUUGAUCAAUCGCGUGCUGUUGCUGUGACUAACAGAUGACCCUGCAAAACCCCAGAUGGCCACACUUUUAAUAGUUUAGUUAGUUUAAUAGCUGGUUCUGGCAUAUUUAUAGCUCAUUUCACUUUGCGGUCCAGCCCCAAAAACCAUUUCUACCCCAAUUCACUCGCUUUGCCUCCGUCUCCUUUUCCUCUUCACACCUCUUACCACAACCACCUUGAAAGUAUAAUUGAGGCAGGGAUAUCGUCAGGCCGGGCUUUGUAUCCGCACGGGAAGCAAGCGAGGAAGUAGCGAGUGACACAGAGGUGACCUCCACUGGCACAGAGACCAACUACCUCCUGAGCCAUCCAAAAUGCCCAACACAAAUUAGGUGAUUAAAUUAGCAAGUCGUGCUUUUAAUGUAUAGCAGAGUUUUGCGCUCGUGGUAUUUCUUUUAUUAACGGCAAUACAUCACAUUCAUUUCCUUUGCCUGUUCAUUCCUCCUCCUCAUCUCAUCAAAUGUAUGACAUUGCAUAUCUUCUAUAGUGCCUUCUAUGAAAUAAUUGCAGAUAACACAAUACAAUUAAACCUUAUUCCAUUUCAAUUCCUCUUGUGAUCCUGCCUAUUGACAAAAAACGUGCAAUCAUGACAAGUCAGUACAUCCUCAUACAAUUUUCCUGUGAAAGAAGUUAAACAGCAUUUAGAUUUUGGUCAAGGUCACAGUGGUCAAUUGAUCACUGCUAAAGCAACAUCCAACACUCCUCAUCGAUAUGGAGGAAGAGAAGCAGAGAGAGAAAUAUACAGGGAGCAUGGAUGGAUAAAAAAGACACAGGUUGCAAGAAAAUAAUAAAGUCACACAUCUGAAUAUCUUUAUCAUAUUAUUUUCUUGCAACCUGUAUUAUCGUUGGCUCUCUAAACUUACUAUGUCUCGUGGCUGAAAUUAAACAUUAUUUUUAUUCACUUUGAGAAUGGAAAGUUAUCUUCCAUUCUAGAUGAAGCCCUGAUAGAUAUAAGCAUUCAUGGAAGUUGACAACGGCCAUUGCACUGAGGGCAUUAGAAGUGGCAGCUUGUCAAACAGCCCACUGGGGUAAAAAAGCAGCAAGUUAAUAGAGGAACAGAAAGACGGGGGCGAAGGGGGGUGGAGGCAUAAGCCGUGAGGGCAACCAGCAGGUCAGCAGAAAGGACAAGUUUCCACUUUGCCUUCCUGCUGCCCUUCAUUUUCCACCUCCUCAUCUUCCUAUUUUAAAUUAAUUACCGUUCAGGACAUGAGAGGAGUACGGAGCGCUCUCGUUAAGCAACAACAAAUACCCAGGACAUGAGAAACUUAAUUACCUGGGGACCGGAGGUUAUUCUGGUGCCAAGGAGAGUCUCUACCUCUUAACAAGGGCUUUGCCCUCGAGGAUAUGAGCGCAGGAAAUGUAUGAUUCUGCGGUGUUCCAUUUCUAUUCAUACGCAUAACUUUUUCUGCAGGGAUUUUCCCUACAUGUAACUGUACUACAUAUUUGCGUUUCUUACCAUUAUUCUCGGAAAAAUAUUCUCUGAAUUGGUUUCUCAAUCUUUGGCCUGUGCCUCCGUUGUGUGUAGUAUUUGGGUGUUUUUAAUUAAUGACAUCCCUCACGGUGUCUGCCUUAUUCACUUAAUGACACCCCCUCCCCCUCCUGUCCGCGCGAAUGCUGGACUGAUGAUGCUCCUUAACGUCUCAGUAAUUAUUCCACGGCUCUUUAAUUCUGUCUCUAUUCUAUCCCUCUCCUCUCUUUUAUGUCAUGUAUUCAUCACCAUAUUCACACGGUUUGCCUUUGAGCAGAACAGCUGAUUAGACCGGGUUCUCUCUGCAAAGGCCCUAAUCUGCAUAGGCCCCAUUGCGGAGCCAUGUGGAGUGCCACUGUGAUGAAAGUCUGUGUCACUGGCAUAUGCGCAAAACACAAGUAACAACAACAAAAAGACUUCUAAGACAUUUAAGCUAACGGCCCAUUCCUUAACAAGCCAGCACUGCGUCCGUUUCCUCCAGAAUCAGCAGCGGUAGUGAGAUAUUCAAGUCAACAACGUGUCCCUGUGAGAGGGAAGCAAACAAAUAGGAGAGUAAAAGGCUUGAUGCAAAUGAAAUGUUGUCUACGCUUUUGGGUGUGUUGUCAAUAAUUGACAAUAUUUGCUGAUGUCUCCCAACGACUGGGAAGUCGAGAUGUGCCGGAUGGGCUUAGGAGAUGUGCCGAGGGAUUUCGGUAAAGAAAUGGGGUGCAGAUAAAUUUGUCCCACCCCCAGCCCAGUGCUCCCCCCACACACCUUUACAGACACUUCUCUCUGCAUUCUUUACCUUAUUGUAAUCACGUUACCUAUUAUUUAAACUCGCCCCUCCCUCUUAAUACAAUUGCCUUUCUAUUGUCCUCCAUUCAUCAACCUCUCUCUCCCCGCUCAGCCUGGAUCUCUGCAUGUUCACAGAUUUACACAGCAGUGAUCUGUCCUUUGCCUCUUUUCCUCUGACCAGGCGCAUGCAGGUCAUUCCCACUUUUACAACCCACAGAAUGGCCUCUCUUCUCACAAUACAAAAGCCUUUCUAAUUGGUGAGCUGUGCUUCUAUUUAAUUACCUGGGAGAACAUAUAUUCUGCUGUUGCUGCACAAAGCUUCCCUUUUUCUCUCAAAGUUUUCCAUUUCUUUCGUCGUUACUGACCUGUUGUAAUUUACGACAUCCUCCUAAUUUACACGAUAAUUCAAUGAACCCCAAAUUAACCUGGCCGGCAUUCACCCCAUUAGUUCGCUGUGCUCCCCCACUCUGUUGUCUCAAUGAUUAAUUAUCAAUGCCCAUGAUGUGGAUCAGACGUUGUCAGCGGAGGACGCCGGUGUCAUUCAGUGUCUGUGUCCACCAGAGCACAGCAGCCGCAUAUUAGCGACAGGGUUGACGGGUAAAUUACAGGCGAUUAAGAUCUUGUAAUCACAUCCCCUGCCUGUAAUAUUGUCACAAUCAUCUCCUAAGUAAGAGGAUAGUUCGUGGGGGCGGGGCUAUGGCGGCAGUGGGGGUUCGGGUCUAUAACCUGGUACCGUUGUACCAAAGAUAACUAACUGCUCCUUGAAAAUGUCCUGACUGUGCCUCUGGAUUUACCUCAUCAUCGUCGUAGGGUGUCCACCUCCCCCCAUGUCAUGCCACAUAAGCCUGCAGGUAGUGGUUUAAUUGUGUUUUUUUCAGCAGAUGGUUAAGUGGAGACGGCUGCCUGUGCAGUCAAAGGCUACUGUAAUAUGCAAAUUACAUCCCUUAAUAAUUGGUCAUGCAAUGAGGGCUUUUCUGUAAAACGACCCAGACUAUUAAAGUGCUUUGACAUGACCGGGAAGGCAUUGCUUUUGCUCCUGUGUGCCACAAAGUUGCAGUUGUGUCAGAGCUUUGAUCCAAAGACUGGCCAUAAUUGAUCUUCUUUGAGAAGUUGUCAAGUGGCUCUUAUUUGACAAGCCAAUUGUUCCACUCCCUGCCUGCCUGUGAUAGUGAGCAUUACUCGUAUCACUGUGGCCAGCUUGACUUGGACAUUAGAAUGGCGAGUAGGUUUUUAUCAGGCACACUCCAAACAGUUAUCCACCGGCACAAAAACACACACGGGAAUAAAACACUUGCUUUAUCGCUUCAGUCAGUAAUCCUCAGCCACGGUUGUCUCUGCAAUUUGCUUCGCAUAAAACCAAGGUCUCUCUUCAUGUGUUCAAUUGAGUCGACAAUGUCAACUUAUUUUGCUUUGACUCUGCGAGCGUUGUAACAUUUAGGAAAGGACUAUGGUUGCCUGUCAAUUGAAAAGCUUGGUUCAAUUCAUUGGUUUAGCUGACGUUUUGCAGAAUUUCCAACAGGUUUGAAAGAGGAGGGCUCCUAGAUUGGGAAAAUUCCUAAAAGCAUAUAUUUUAUUUAUCUCUUUCAUGAUAUACGUCUUUUCUAAAAGUCACAUGUGAAGCUUUUGUGGUAUCUUUAUUGUAUUCUACUGGGGUCGUGAUAGGGAAAGAGAGGCCAUGCAUCAUGUCCCACUGAUAAUCAUCUUGAUGUCUGAAUCUUGUCAUUCCUGAAAGAUAUUUUUAAAAUGUCUCCUCAGUCAGGAGUCAUUUUUGCUCUUCCAUUAAAUCUACUCUGGUUUUCAUUAAAACAAGGUAUCUUUGGUGUACAUGGUCAAAUUAUUUGUUAAAGAUUGUAAUGUUUUUGUUUCAUUUCGAUUAUACAUGGUCCAAUUCAAUUUCGCCUUUACUAACUACUAUACAGUCCCCAAAGACAAAAUGUUAAUUGACGUCUUAAAUCAACCAAAUGGGCGUGCGAGUUUGAUCGUUGGUUCUAGACUCAUCACCCAUUCUCCGCAUCCAGACUGGCACAGCACCAAUAUCCAUCCUUGACCCUGAAUCACAGCCUCCCCCCCCUACACAUUAGUCAACAUGCUGUCUCUAAGAAGAACAUUGUUUGCCUCGCAGUGAACCUCCUCCAGCAAGUCUGCCUCUAAUCCAACAGCAAACCAUCUUUGAGUGACUGCUUUUGAUUGCCGAAGUAAUUUAUUGAUUUGUUUCCACUCCCAAUAUAUCAUACAAAAAUCCCCAACACCCUUUGCAUCGAGCAGAUUUUGUGAUGGUCAAAUUUAUUGAUUAUAACCUUUCCCAAAGGGGUGUCUGAUAGUUUAAUCAAUCAGUCCAGGGCUUGGGGUCAAGUCGCAGUAAUCAAGAGCGUAUUGGAUUAGUAACCUAAGGGAUAGACUACAUCGGUUUGUUCUGUGGGUGUAUUAACAAGGUAGAGGUGUGGGCAGUCUGGGUCAGAGGAGCAAUUAGAUUAUCAAGAAACACAACGUCAAGAUUGUAUCUGAGUCACGCUGGGAUGUUUGGCUCCAGGGCAGUUGUUGCUGAGCUGCGUUUACUGGCUCAUUGUGGCUGAGGUCAGAGGCCGUGGGUGCUUUCCUUCACUUUGUCAGGUCCUUGAGUAUUUUUAGAAGAGGUAUGUACGAGGGUAUUUUUUUUUGAAGAUACACUUGUUCAUUUUUAAAGAGGAUGGACAAUAGACACAUGGCUGAGACCCUUUAAACAGCAUGCAUAUGCAUAAACCUCACUAGAUGGCACUGUUCCCACUUUGCACGACCCAGCCAGUCAGUUGAGGGAAGCGCAUCCCUGCAGACCGACGAGGCUUUCUUAUCUCGUAUUGCAUUCCCAUCUAAGCAAAUCUCAUGGCAAAAUCUGAUCAAAUGUUUGCAAGCAGGUGUGCUUGGAAAUGUUUCCUCCAGUUUUGUCAGAUCAUGGUGAAAGGGCCUCGAAGUUGGAUAAUCGCGAUUCAAUUUCCCCAAAAUGAAAGCUAACAACGCCGUGUAAAGGACAUCAAUCUUUGACUGUUUUGACAACAGGGGAACCGAUUAUAAAACCCUUUUUGUUUAGAGUGACACGGUGGCUAUUCUUUUCAGUUGACCUACAGAGAUGAUAUUAAUAUUCUGUACUAAUCAUUCAAGGCAAAAAAUUGCUAUACACCAAAAUGACAGUGCCCGAGCAAGCAGAAGGUAAAACAGGACAGGAGAGAAAGGUGGGUAUUAGGGGAGGGGGGGGGUGUAUGACUGCAGUGGUGGUGAGGAUCAGUGCUCAUGCAGCAAACAACCUUUUGCUUUUCCUGCCAUCAUUGGGACCCACUAUCUGCAUGGCUGGAAGGCGUGCAAAGAGAGAGCAGGAGAGCAAACAACCCACACCUCAAUGCGCCUCGGCACUUUGAGCCAUACAACACACCUGCUCCACUGUUUUGGAGCACAAGAGAGAUAAAGAGCAGUAGACAGAGAGAGGGAGAGAGAGAUAUUCCAGAGGACAUCUCCCAUUCCAAACAUGCCAGGUGACUCUUCUUUUUUUCUCUUCUAGGGAGUAUCUGACAGCCCCACUCUUAAGGGCUUAUAAGCCGGUCAUGUUCACUUGAGUUCAUAAGCGUUAUAGGAAUCCAAUUUUCCUCUCUAGAUCCAUACCAGUAGUACAUUGCAGAGCUUAGAAACCUAAAGUUUUUUUUAUUAUAAAGUUGGGGAAAGUGUGCUUCCCUACUCUUUGAGUGCGGGGCAACCUCCGGUGCACAGAACAUUCUCUACCUGUGCAACCUCAUAUAGUGGUAGAUUUGCUGGCAUUGCUUUACAAAUCACUAUCUGCCACUAUCAGUCAUGCAUGCAAAUAGAGAAAUACACGCAUGCAAAGCGUGCAGAUUCUACUCACGGUUUCACCCGGGUGUCUCACAUGCAUUAAUAAUUUCCCACAUACAUUUCAUAUGCCUACUCUCACAUAAUCCUAUUAACCAGUCUGCAGAAUAUAGGCCACACAUAUACAGUAUACACAUACACCUGCCCUCUUUUGGGAUUAUCAUGCUUGACGCCUCUCAGACUGAAUGGCUUGUUUCACACCGACAGAAUUGUGAUCUCCGUCUCAGUGUGCUUCUGAGAGGCAACAGAACUUGCCAUCGCCCUGCGCUCACACUCACAAUCCCUUAUGCCUAUUGUGUGUAUGUAAAUCUGUGCCUCGGCGUAAGUGCAUCUCAGAAAGGGUGAGUGAGGCAAACAGACGGAGGCAGAGAGAGAGAGAGAGAGAGAGAGCACGAAAGAAAAUGAGUUCUGCUUAUGUAAAAGAAGCCAAAUCCAGGUCAGACGGCACAUUCUUCAUCAAGCACUGCUUUCGUUUUUAUACUUUGACUAAGAUGCAUUUAAUGGAUGAUUUACUAGUUUUUAAAUUAAAGUAAUUUAUCAAGCAAAAAUGCCACUCACUCUACAAAGAUGUUUCCAACGUGAGGGCUGGCAUUUUCUUUUUUAAAUACUGCAUUUAUUCCCUAACGAGACGUUUGAAGCGAUGUCCUCAAUGUCCUCAAAUAUGUCAAACUACUAAUCUUGCAGCCUUGACAUCUCAUAACAGUAAUACCAAGCAGAGACACUAUGGUAAACUGCUCAAAAGGGUUUUACUUUCUUCAUUCCUAGGCUCCAUUCCAUCUUCAUUUACAGUAAUAAUAAGCCAACUAUUAACUUAACAACAGCGCAGGAAUACAAUGAAUUUGUCCGGUCAAAUAACGCCGCUAUUUAUUACAUCACAACAUUUGAAAAAAGGUGUAAUCUAUUGUUGUGGUCAGUACUUUCUCCUUUUUUCUUCCACUCUUCCACUCAAAUGCAGAUACUUUAAUACCACAGAGGUACAUGAAACACAACCUUCAAGACCUACCGUAGGCAUCGUAUCAAAAGCAUGGAAUUCAUUUUUUGUUUCAGGUAAUUGCUAUUUCCCUAAAAACAUCUUGGUUUUCCUAAUGCCAUCUCCGUCCUCUGAGAGCAGGAGUGACCCGGAGUGGUCUUCUUGGUAACUCUCCAGCAUGUUUAUUCUGGUGAGAUGGGAUAUAACUGUGUUUAUGAUGCUAUAAAGACUUUUUGGCCGAAGCCCUUGCUGCCCACAGCGUGUCUUUAGGCCCAUCAUAAAAGCCGGAAUGGGUUCUGCCCUUGGAAAGGUACUACAAGUAGUGUGUGUGUGUUAGUUGGUGUGUGUGUGUGUGUGUGUGUGUGUGUGUGUGCGCCCUGUUUUACGUUAAGUUGAUCGUUACAGGAGCUCAGGUUUUCUAUAGCUAUCUUUAUGGUUACAAACGCAUCACUUGGACUGCUUGAUUUUGAAAACCCAGUCCCUCUAAAAAUGAAUGGGUUUUUUAUAUUGUAUUAACAGCAACUUCUCGAGUUGCUUACAGUAUACAUCAGCAUGAUUAGUGUACAGUGACUAUUAAAGUGAUACACCAUCCAAAGCCUCCCUUUAGAAUAUCAAGCACGGUUCGCCCUGUAGCAUAAAGAAUAGUAGAGCUGCCAGGGGAGACGAGUCUUAACAGCAAGAAAAAGUACAUUUCUUUGCUGCAAAUGUAGUGUGUCCUUCGUUACUGUAAAAUCAGUUCAUCGUCCCCUUUUUUAGACUUUAAGGUCACCCGGACAAUGAUUGUUUAGAGCGACGACGAGGGAGAAUUUGUCACUGCUGCAAGGACAUUUUUUCAAUUUCAAUUUUCUACUACGAAAACUUGACAUCUUUUGAUUCCAACCAACAUUUAUUUACUACUUCUUGCAGAAGAAAAAGCACGUUCCAGAUAUAUAUAUAUAUAUAUAUCUUGUGCGUUGUGACGUAUUGCUUGAACUGUUUACUACUGAACACCUUCCAUUAGACGAUGGAACAACAGAGAAAAGGUUUUGCUGCUGUCACAGGGUGUUUAUAACGGCUCAUAACUCAGCAGCUCCAAAGUGCUCACAAGAUCUGCUUUCUGAGAGCAAUUCAAACGAGUGAACUUUUGCACCGAGCAGUAAGAAGGGUCAAAUUAGCUGAAAGAAAACAAGUGGCAUCCCUGUAAUGUCAAUACGACAUCCUCCCGCGCGUCAUCCUCCUACGCGGGCAUUUUUUUUCUUCUGUAAACGUGGCUGUGUGUGCACAUGUACUCCCACUGAUGCGCGGCCAUGAACAGGUGGGUGGCUGGCGGUGGGCGCCAUCAAUCCAAGCCGUGCGUGUCUAUGAAUAUGUGGGUGUGAGUCACCGCGUUCCCGUGUAAUGUGCGUCAGGCUUGCCCCGAGCGCCCCUGUUUCAGGUUGGUCUCAUUACAAAAGGUAAUUCCUCCGGAGCAACAGCUCGGUGAUGGCAGGAGAUGGUGAUGAUCCUUUAAUAGCCCCCCUCAUUGCCCACUGGCCAGAUCCUAAAAGCUGAUUUGCCUACUGCGGCUGCCACUGAGCCGAGAAGAUGAAUAGAAAACUAACCAUCAUUAUAUCUGCGAUAGAAAUCAAAUAAGAUCGCCCAUAAUCUACUUCUCAGCUUCUUUUGUUUCUUUUUCAAACCAUCCGUUGCUCAGUCCGUACAUCUAUCCCCCGGCUCCAUGUUUCUAUCCCUCUGCUUUCAUGACUUUCUGCUGCUUUUCCCUCCCUUCUUAUUGUUUUGCUUGUCUUAUGUGGCUUUGUAUCAGGGCUCAAUUUUUCCAUUUCUACACUUCAAAAGAAGUCUACUGAUUGGAUUUUUAUUUUUUGGGGCGUUUGGAAGUAAUGAGGGAUGACGCCAUGUGAGUUUUCAGGGAGCAGAGCCUCGACAGCCUUGCCUUGUGGCGAAUGGGAAGGGGGCUGAAUGGAGGAGCUCGGCUAAGUGGUCAAGAGGAUGUGUGAGCGUUUGCGUGCAUCGGGGUGUGUUUAAGUUUCACAAAAAGCUUCAUCAAUCUUGUGCAUUUAACUGGGGCUUUUAUCGCCUACAUUUCAAAGAAAACAAUGGUAAAUGUGGAAAUUGAUUGUGUGUUUGUGUGCACUCUGGUGUGUGUGUGUGUGUGUGUGUGUGUGUGUGUGCCCUAAACCCCCUGUUAUCUGAAGUGAGAAAAGCGAGGAAAUCGAGAAAGGGCCAAAACUCCACUCUAAUCUCCUCCACAUAUGGUCGGGUUUCUCACAUAUCCCUGAUACGAUUUAUAGGGAUUAGUUUGCCCCCCCCCGAAAUCGUCAGAGUGUGGAAAAAGUGCCGUGUGGAGGGUCCUUUAAUCUCUUAGCCAUCGGCACUGUUGACACGACAGGGCGAUAGUGAGGAAGUCAGACCGCUUCUGUUUGAUUUGGAAGGAACAACAGUGUCCAGGAAUUGUGCUUAACACACACGGGGGGACUGGAUGAAGGUCGUGUUUACACCGGGGAGUGACCGUGCAUAUGUAUAUGGGUGGUUAUGUGAUUGUUGCGGGGAGGCUGAGCCUUGGCCGAAGUCCCUUUUCCCUUCCAUGUAUCACUCUCACUACAUCCCCCGCUUUCCCCCUCCGUGUUCCAGUCGCUCCCCCCUCUGUCAGGGGAUGUUCGUCUAAAUAAUUCAGCCGCGAUCCGGGCCAGUCUUUAAUCAGAUGUCGCUGCUUCCCGUCUCCGACAGGGCGCUCAACACAUUAUCAUAAUCGUCCGUUUCUUCAGACUUGUUCAGCCAGUUGCUAAAGUUUUGGGACAUUUGAGUUAAGCUUAAAUGACGCUUCACAUGUUGGCUGAUGGUAUUAAUGCUUUUCAACUCUGAUGUACGUAACGUCAUCGGACUCUAAAUGAUCCUUUUCACGCCAGCCUGACAAGUUAAAGGAUGUAAAGCCUAGUCUAUCAACCAACAUUUGAAUGGCAUUAUUUAAACUAAUCAAAAUUCUAAACAGCUCAACAAAUGCCACACUUUAAUUUUGAGUCUCUCUCUCUCUCUCUCUCUCUCUCUCUCUCUCUCUCUCUCUCUAUAUAUAUAUAUAUAUAUAUAUAUAUAUAAUACACUAAAUAUAGUGCAAAAAUAUGCAAAAUAUGUACAAUAACGUAUAGGGUUAUAUUUUGGGAAUAAAUUGCUUUUUUAAGGUAUUGACCAAAGUAGGCUAACCAAGUUCAACAACAUUCGGAGUGGAUCAUCUGAUCUUAACUGUACAUUUAUUGUUCUCAAACCUUUUAUGACACAACAUGAGUCACUUUGACUUUGAUUUCCUUAAACCAGUGUUGGAAAAAAUAACAUUUGAACUCAAACACAAUUCUCUGACAUGAGCAAACUCCAUCUGUUGAUGCAAAAUUACGCAAAGCUCAGGAAACAAAUGGAUCUUGAGUUGAGAUUGUUUUGCGUACGCGUGCAGAGAUGCAUGUGUGAACAUAACAGACAUUUUGAUGGACCUCCUGUGUGCAAUAAUUCAGCUGAUAUAUUAAUGCAAUACAGUGGUUUAAAAGACUCUUACGUGAACAUCUGCAGCCCAUUUUCUUAUCUUUAGUCUGAUACACUGUAAAAGAGAUCCAGCCGGCUCGCUAACGAGUUAAAACUGCACAAAAUUCACCACGGCUCUGCUGCCUGAGGCGAGGAGGAAGCAGUGAUGGAAUUCUACCCUUAUCAGUCAGUCUCCAUAGGGGAAUACAGUGCACAUAGGGUAUGCAGACGGGUCGGGUGAAGUGAUUUGUCAGGGGCGACAUGUCCUGGAAACAGAUUUGUUUGAAGGUGUCAAUGUGCAAUCGGUCGCACGCGGUUUUGUGUGCGUGCACGUGUGUGUGUGUGUUUGUGUGCGUGCGUGCUGGGAAAGCUCGGUGGUCUGCAGUUUACCCCCACAGUUGCUUGGCAGCUUCACUCCACUUUUAAUUAGAGAAAAAGCUUCGGCAACAAAGUUCGCAACUAAGAGAGUGGGGUGAGAGAAAGAGAGAGCGGGAUUUGCAUCGUAAACUGAACCAGCGGAUUCAUUCAGGCGAAAUAAAAGUAUCGUUCAAGGUCGGUCUUCACCUGAUUUUGGAAGGAAAAUAAAACAAAUAUGAGAUACCUUUGGCAUGUUUCUCCCUCAUGUUAGACUCUGGACACAUUUAUAGGUAACCACACACAACAGUUAAAUCUAUCUAUCUAUAUAUAUACAUACAUACAUACAUACAUACAUACAUACAUACAUACAUACAUACAUAUAAAAGCAAAGAGCAUUGGAAAGACAGCAUCAGACUGUAUGAAAAAUUGAUAGUGGGACUGUACGUGGAACGGUACAGUACAGGUAAAAGUUCAAGUAAAACAUUAAUGGGGAGAACUAUUAUGUUAUUUAUGAGCAUGUCGUUUGACAAAACCUUAUAUGAAUGCUAAACAUCACUAUUUUUGUUUGUCUUAUUAUUUGAGAUGAAGCAUUCUUUUGUUAGUCCCAGUUAUUUUCCACAGCAGCAACAUGACACCUCAUAUUUGCUGCCUGACAUCGUAAAUUAAACACAAUGGAGUAACGCAGGUAACAUUAGCAUCGUUAGCAGCAGAAUAACUACCGUGCAUAGUGGGCUGCGCUGGUCUUCAGCAGCCCUGUAACCAUUCAAUCUGCUCUUCUUUUCCCUUUUUACCCGGCGCUUGGGUGACGUAUUUCCCCAUUUCGUGUUUGCAGUCAUGCUAUUUUUCACACACCUCUCAUCUCCUUUGUGCUCCUUUAAAUCCCCAAUAGUCUGAAAUUUCUCUGGCUGCUUGCGAUUUCUAUUUUUGUGACAGCCACUUUAAAGAGAAACGAAGUCUCACAGAAAUUAGUGGUGUGACCCAAACCGUGAAAACGGUUGUGGUGGUGGCGCAUAAAGUCACACAUUAUGUACCACAAUGGACCCAAUUUUACAGGACCACUUAGUUAGGUUUACAAAGAAAAUAUUGGCUUGGAAAAACUUUGGGACACAAUUUCUUUUAGUCAAUCAACCUUCCAUCCUUCCAAAAAAUAUCUUUCUCACACGGUUGCCAGCUUUCAGUUUUGCAUAUUGUCGUAGAUGCUUUUUAUUGUGUGUGUGUGUGUAUGACAACAAUAAAGCAUCAUAAUCGACUUUUCAAUGGAUGUUUUUCCCCUCAAUCAUUUGUCACCCCAACAUAAUACGCUGUUAAGAGGUUGUGGUCAUUUCAAGUAUUUCUGAGGGAUCAGGCUGCUCUGCCUUUCAUUUGCCGGCCCUCUCUUGUUCCUCACCCCUUUCUCUCCCGGCUCCUCGCUGUCCACUUUCAUUGUCUGCCAGGUACAAAGAAAAGAUAGCUCCUUUUUCGUGUUUCAUGUGUAAAAAUUGGAUGACAUGUGGUGAGUUGUGGAUUAAAGUGAAUGUCAAUCACCUUCCUUUUUAUCCACUCUCCUCCAGGCUCUGCUCCCCUGGUGACGUUACGUACCUGGAGGGAUUUUUCAUUUGGCUCUUUUCUGUCUCUCCCGUCCAUACCCUUGUUCGCAUACACUGCACCACAUGCAAAUUGCAUUUGUUCAAGUAACUGUAGCCCACUUACCAAGUAAAUUUCUUUACCCAUUGUUGCGUUUUUUUUCUUCCUACAACCUUAUCCCAUUCGACUCCUCUGUGGCUCCACAUUUGUCUUUUGCGGAUUUCUCUCACGACACGUCCGUCUGUGGCCCUCCAUAUGUCCCUGCAUCUCUUCCUUACCUUGUUAUAUCGGAGAGCUGUGAAAACUGGGAAGAUGAAAAUCUCUCCUCUUUUUAAGUGAUAAAAAUCACAGAGCCUAUAGGCUGCAGCCAGAGCCACUAAGCUUGGGAG